AGUGAACGCUGGCGGUAGGCCUAACACAUGCAAGUCGAACGGCAGCACAGUAAGAGCUUGCUCUUACGGGUGGCGAGUGGCGGACGGGUGAGGAAUACAUCGGAAUCUACUUUUUCGUGGGGGAUAACGUAGGGAAACUUACGCUAAUACCGCAUACGACCUACGGGUGAAAGCAGGGGAUCUUCGGACCUUGCGCGAUUGAAUGAGCCGAUGUCGGAUUAGCUAGUUGGCGGGGUAAAGGCCCACCAAGGCGACGAUCCGUAGCUGGUCUGAGAGGAUGAUCAGUCACACUGGAACUGAGACACGGUCCAGACUCCUACGGGAGGCAGCAGUGGGGAAUAUUGGACAAUGGGCGAAAGCCUGAUCCAGCCAUACCGCGUGGGUGAAGAAGGCCUUCGGGUUGUAAAGCCCUUUUGUUGGGAAAGAAAAGCAGCAGGUUAAUACCCCGCUGUUCUGACGGUACCAAAAGAAUAAGCACCGGCUAACUUCGUG
rnacentral:rRNA from 1 species